AGGGAAAUUACAGGUUUCGCCUCA
rnacentral:siRNA from 1 species